AACUUUUUAUAAAUUUGAAGUUAUCGAAGGAUCAUGCUAUAGAAACUGUACAGUUAACCAGUGCUUUUGGAUGGGAUUCUAGUGAUACAAAUGUAAAUCAGGAUGUGCAUGAAUUUUUUCAAAUGCUUUUAAUGCGUUGAAACUAGAACUUACAAAUAUCUCACCGGAACAAGAUGAUUUAAUUUCUAAGUAUUAUGAAGGGAUUAUACUUGAUCGUGUAAUAUGUUUAAUCUGUAAUGCUGAACAUUGCACGAAAAAUCCUUUUUUGGAUAUUUCCUUGCCAAUACAAUCAGAUGAGACUAAGAUUGGAGCAUACAAC